rnacentral:rRNA from 1 species
GAUGAACGCUGGCGGCGCGCCUAACACAUGCAAGUCGAACGAUUAAAGCACCUUCGGGUGUGUAUAAAGUGGCGAACGGCUGAGUAACACGUGGGCAACCUGCCCCUCUCAUUGGGAUAGCCACGGGAAACCGUGGAUAAUACCGAAUACUUCGAGUCUCCCGCAUGGAAGACUCGAGAAAGCUCCGGCGGAGAGGGAUGGGCCCGCGGCCUGUUAGCUUGUUGGUGGGGUAACGGCCUACCAAGGCAAUGAUGGGUAGCUGGGUUGAGAGACCGACCAGCCAGAUUGGGACUGAGACACGGCCCAGACUCCUACGGGAGGCAGCAGUGGGGAAUCUUGCACAAUGGGCGAAAGCCUGAUGCAGCGACGCCGCGUGCGGGAUGAAGGCCUUCGGGUUGUAAACCGCUUUCAGCAGGGACGAGGCGAAAGUGACGGUACCUGCAGAAGAAGCCCCGGCUAACUACGUGCCAGCAGCCGCGGUAAUACGUAGGGGGCAAGCGUUAUCCGGAUUCAUUGGGCGUAAAGCGCUCGUAGGCGGUCUGUUAGGUCGGGAGUUAAAUCCGGGGGCUCAACCCCCGUUCGCUCCCGAUACCGGCAGACUUGAGUUUGGUAGGGGAGGGUGGAAUUCCUAGUGUAGCGGUGGAAUGCGCAGAUAUUAGGAAGAACACCAGUGGCGAAGGCGGCCUUCUGGGCCAUAACUGACGCUGAGGAGCGAAAGCUAGGGGAGCAAACAGG